CUGAGGUAUCAGCACCGGCCAGUGCUGGUAGCUGCCCAGCUCUAUGUAAUGGGCAGUCUUCAGCAGCUUCUGAGGCAUCUUCAGCAGCAUCUUGUGCUCGGCAGCUCCUCUGGUGCAAGGCAAGCUGGGGAGGCUGAGGUCAAAGGAAAGCCUGGUUGCCAUGUCUGGACUGCACUGCUGAUGUCUCCUUUCUGCCAUCACUCCAUUUAGUCUGGAAGAAACGAGACUAGCCCUCCUUCUGGCAUACAGGGCGAGAGAUAGAACAAUGAUUGGAGGAGACAUGCAGCAACUCUGCCUUCCAGUCCAACUGCUACACCCAAAAAGUAAGGCACAGAUCACAUAAUCCGAAACAGCCAUCCAUGAAAUAUCCAAGGGGGAUCCCUGGCUAGCACAGGAUUAAACAGAAUAGAUACAACUUGCUGACACAAUGACUUUGGUAUGUUAUUAUUGGAGUUGUUUACUGUCAUGACUUCAUCUUGCUUCAAAGUUGAAAUUAAAUGUACUGGGAAGCCACAGGCGGUCAUCACAUUGAAUUGCAGCGAACACAAUGAAAUAUAUAAUUACAGCAUUACACCACACACGAACUCCUGGAAUGUGUUGAUGAUAAACAUGUAAAGGUAUGAAAGACAAUUUUGCUUUCAACAUAUUCAAUGCUUAUGCCUGUAAACAUAAUAUAGUGUGCGUUUGAGGACGUGGUCAUGUUCCAGUGUUCAAAGGACAUGCUUGGAAGAAUCAGUAAGCUCAGUCCUUCCUCUUGAGACAAAGGAGUAAUUUCCUUUGGGGAUUCACAUUUUGGAUCGGACUCAUGCAAAGCAGCAAAUCACUCUGACAUACCAAGGGCGUUGUGUUAGCAUAUUCAAUUCUGCUUUCCAUCUGCAACAGAUUUACAGGAACACGAUGCACUUGUUUAUCAUGAACAGAAAAAAAGACAUCAGGCAAACAGUACAAAGUUAAUUUUGCUCAGUGAUUUAUGACUCAAUGAAAAAAUUACUGCAAUAAGCCACUGCUGGGUUGUUCAUUGACUGACUGUUAUUAAAUCUUGACACAUGGCACCCCCUAUAACGACACUUUUAACCUAUGAACAAAAGGGGAUUCAUUGUUUUAUAGGAGGGAUAUGGCUUCCUUUACUUCUGUUUUAAAACAUGGGGAUAUUUAUGCCUCACAUUCUUUCUUUUGUAGUUAUAAUUAGUCAGCUGAACCAUCAGUCUGUCAUUUUUUGUAUUGUUAUCUCAGUCAGUCGCGAUGCCAGCUGCUCUAGCUGCUGAAUGUCAAGUCUAGAUGGCAUCUGCCACACAGGAAGAUGAAUGAAUUUGCCUUCAAAAUAAAAGCCCGGUGGUGUGAGAUAUAGCAUAUAGGAAUAACAUUAGAUGAGAUUUUUUUUUUCAUUCUUUUAUCAUUCAUUCGUUUUCCGUAACAGCUUAUCCUGUUAGGGGUUGUGGAGGGCUGGAGCCUUUCCCAGCUGACAUUGGGCAAGAGGCAGGGUACACCCUGGACAGGUCGCCAGACUAUCACAGAGCUGACACACAGAGACAGACAACCACUCACACUCACAUUCAUAGGAAUAACGUUAAAUCAAAUAAAAUCUUUUCAUUCUUUAUUAUGUUGUUUUAUUUUGUAAGGGUGUAGGUUUCAUCUAAACAUGGCGGAGGGUUACACAUAUGAGACAAAGGAUUUGGGGAGCUGCCGUCAGAGAAUUUUGAUACUCAAAUACUUAAUUUCCUGCAUUCUGAUGAAAUAUAAUGCACCAAUUUGCGCCUUUUCUGCAUCAAGUUAUGGCAUAAAUGUCUUUAAUUGUGUCAAAAUAAAAGUCCUCCACAAUUUCACAUAUUUAAUGGGAGAGACAAACAGGUGUAUUGUAAAUAUGUACCCCAAAAUCUACACCUAUGUUAUUUUGACACCUAUGGUAUUUUGUAACAUAACAUGUAUUUAAUUAAAUUACAUAAUAGGAAUACAUUUAUGUAAUUGCUUUACAAACUACAGUUUAAGCUUUUUUUGUAUUUACUUUAUUCAUAGAUAGAUAGAUGGAUAAAUGGAUAGGUAGGUAGAUAGGUAGUCUCGCUCACCAGACCUUUCUCAAGAAAAGAAAGGUCUGGCUGGGCCAACUCUCACUUUGAGAUUGGAGAAAAAAAAACCCGGCUGCUUGUAUUUCUUUCAGCCAAUCACAAUCAUUCUGGGCGGUGCCACAGCAACAGUGCGCUUGCAAAAAUAUUGCCGGGGGGAAACAAGUUUUGGUGCAACACGCCCACAAAAAUAUCGCCUACAGGACGGAAACCAUGGCAGAAAAAUGGCUACAUCCCCACAAGAUCAAACACCGCAAAAGUUAGUAAAGGACGUGUUGAAAACUACAGCCGGAGGUGGUAGAGCAGGACUUCAGUGGCUGAUCUAUGCAGCGAACUUCCGCCCACUCAGACAAGUAGAUAGGUAGUUUGGUAGGUAGGUAGGUAGUUUGGUUGUUUGAUUGGUUGGUUGGUUGAUUGGUAGGUAGGUAGGUAGGUAGGUAGGUAGGUAGGUA